GAAGGUCACGGCGAGACGAGCCGUUUAUCAUUACGAUAGGUGUCAAGUGGAAGUGCAGUGAUGUAUGUAGCUGAGGCAUCCUAACAGACCGGGCGACUUGAAC
rnacentral:rRNA from 1 species